rnacentral:rRNA from 1 species
CAGUCGCCACGGGAAUACGGAGGGAGCUAGCGUUGUUCGGAAUCACUGGGCGUAAAGCGCACGUAGGCGGCUAUUCAAGUCAGGGGUGAAAGCCCGGGGCUCAACCCCGGAACUGCCUUUGAAACUAGAUAGCUUGAAUCUUGGAGAGGCGAGUGGAAUUCCGAGUGUAGAGGUGAAAUUCGUAGAUAUUCGGAAGAACACCAGUGGCGAAGGCGACUCGCUGGACAAGUAUUGACGCUGAGGUGCGAAAGCGUGGGGAGCAAACAGGAUUAGAUACCCCAGUAGUCCCUGUCUCUUAUAC